rnacentral:rRNA from 1 species
UACGAGGGGGGCAAGUGUUGUUCGGAAUUACUGGGCGUAAAGGGAGCGUAGGCGGAUGCUUAAGUUGGAUGUUUAAAACCGGGGCCCAACCCCGGAGCGGCAUCCAAAACUGGGCAUCUUGAAUAGGUCAGAGGCUGGUGGAAUUGGAGGUGUAGCGGUGGAAUGCGUAGAGAUCUCCAAGAACACCUAUUGCGAAGGCAGCCAGCUGGGACCAUAUUGACGCUGAGGCUCGAAAGCGUGGGGAGCGAACAGG